rnacentral:rRNA from 1 species
GACGAACGCUGGCGGCGUGCUUAACACAUGCAAGUCGAGCGAGGUCCAUCCAGUGGCAACACUGGGGAAGACCUAGCGGCGAACGGGUGAGUAACACGUGAGCAACCUGCCCCGAAGACUGGGAGUAACACCGGGAAACCGGGUAGCUAAUACCGGACGUGCCCUCCUCUGGUCGCAUGGCCGUAGGAGGAAAGGACUGUAUCUAAUAAAUGCAGCUGCUUCGGGAGGGGCUCGCGGGCUAUCAGCUUGUUGGUGAGGUAACGGCUCACCAAGGCGACGACGGCUAGCUGGUCUGAGAGGACGACCAGCCACACUGGGACUGAGACACGGCCCAGACUCCUACGGGAGGCAGCAGUGGGGAAUCUUGCGCAAUGGGCGAAGCCUGACGCAGCAACGCCGCGUGGGGAUG